rnacentral:lncRNA from 1 species
AUUGAGAGUUCUAACUUAAUGGGGAGGGGUCAAAGACUGGUCUCUGCUGACUCAAGAUUCUAACAGCUCUGUGGUUAGAUCAUCUAGUUGACCAGACCCAGGAAAACGUGGUCUAUGUCACCCAAAUUCAAGACAAGAUGCUCCAGGGCCAUCAGGGGAAGCCAAGUCACUUCUUGAUCAGGUUAGGAUGAUUUCUGGUCAAGAAUGUUAGAGCUCCUUCUAUUCCUUUCCCAGCUUCCUUCUGAGCUAAGAAGUGGAGCUGGUCUUUAAGCCUUAGGUCAAAUAUACCUUCUCUUCCCUCUGUGCAUUCCUAGAAGAACUAGCUAUGCAUGCCUAUGAUGUUACUGUUCUUACAUAGUAUAGAGUGGUGUGUUUCCCCCAUCAGUUUCAGGCUUUGAGCCCUUGAAGGGCAGGGCCAUCUGACUCCUCCUUUCUAUUGCUUACUUCAGAGUAAUCUUGAGGUAGGUGGGUAUAAUGAGUGAACAUUCAGAACAACUAACCCCCCAGUGGCAGUUUUAUACUUUCUGCAUUGCGGUUUUGAUUUGCAACUUUCUAAUGAUUAAUGAAGUUGAGCAUCUUUUCAUAUACUCAUUGGCCAUUUGCAUACCUUCUUUGGAAAAAAUGCUUAUUCAAGCUUUUUUCUUGUGUGUGUGCGUGCGUGUGUGUGUGUGUGUGUGUGUGUGUGUGGUGCUGGGGAUUGAACCCAGGACUUGGCACAUGGUGGGAAAGUGCUUUAGUUAUGAGCUACAUCCUCAGUCCUUUUUGAGUCAGCAUCUCCAUAAAGUUGCCCAGGCUGGCUUCGAAUGUGAUUCUUCUACUUCAGCCUCUCAAAUAGCUGGGUUUGCAGCUCUCCUUUGCUCAUUUUUUUUUUCAGUUGGAUUGUUUGGUUUUUUUGUUGAGUGUUAGGUGUUCUCUGUACAUUCUGGAUAUUAAUUUCAAUACAAUGGUGUUUUAAUAGAAAAAGAGGCAUUUGUGAUCCCUCUUCUUUAGUGCCUCUAUAUUAAUGAUUUGAUGAAUUUCCUUCUUUUCUCUCUAUUCAUGUUUUUUCCUUUAAACAUUUCAAUUAUUACAUUUAAAUUUUUAUUUCAGCCAGACGCAGUGGCUCAUGCCUGUAAUUCUAGAAGCUAGGGAAGCUGAGACAGGAGGAUUAUAAAUUCUCAGCAACUUAGUGAGGCCCUAUGCAAUUUAAUGAGAGCCUGUCUCAAAAAAAAAGGUGUGUGGGGAGCCAGGCACGGUGGUACAUGCCUGUAAUCCCAGCCGCAGGGGAUGCUGAGGCAGGAUGAUCAGGAGUUCAAAGCUAGUCUCAGCAUGGUGAGGCACUGAGCAACUCAGUGAGACCCUGUCUCUAAAUAAAAUACAAAAAAGGGCUGGGGAUGUGACUCAGUGGUUGAGUGCCCCCGAGUUCAAUCCGUAGUACCAAAAAAAAAAAAAAUGGUGUGGAGGGAGGCUGGGAAUGUGGUGUAGUAAGUGCCCCUGGGUUCAAUUCCUGCUACCAAAAAAGAAUAAAAUAAAAAUUUAUAUCAUUUUUAUGAGGAUUUAUCUUUUUCUAUCAGUGUUAAUAGCAGUAUUAUAUUGUUUUGCAUGAAUGUACUAAAAGUUACAUAGCCAUUUCUUUUUUAAAAAAAUAGUUUUAGUUACACAUGGACACAAUAUUUUUUAGUUAUACAUGGACACAGUAUCUUUAUUUAUUUUUUUAUGUGGUGCUGAAGAUCAAAUCCAGUGUUCUGCCACUGAGCCACAACCCCAGCCCUAGAAAUUUCUUUUAAGACAUUUAAAUUGUUUCUCCAUUUUUUUACUAUUAUAAAUAAUACCGGAUAAUCCCAU